AAGAACAUACCACCAAUGAAUACAGUGUCCCUGAUGGCGAAUCCAGGCCUGGGACAUACUAUAUGUUUAUGUAUUAAAUUAUGCAUGUUUUGCUCUCAAGGAUGCUCCGUUACUGAAUUAAAGCUAAACCAAUAAAUCAGCUGGGCCGAUACAUUGAUAGGAGCUUAUUCCGAUCUUGCUCCUUACGCAUCUUAUUUAUAUAUCUAAAAUGUAUUAUAAGUUGUUAUUAGAAACAGUUUGGAAAGGGACAGGCACUUUCAAAAAAUACUUGGCAGGUGACUGGAUGAACCAUGUGUCUAUCACAGGCGAACUUCAACUAAUCAGAUCUAACAACCAUAUAACAUAGUCACUCUGACUGAUCAUCAGUGUUGUUCUUUGCUCUUCUUUCAAUUAAAAAUACUCUCGCUAGCAGCAUUUACACUAACCUCUGUAACACACAUCAUCACACAGCUGGUGUUAAACCUCACCGGUAGCUCACGCAUAGAUCAGGUCAUAGCUGCCAGUAGUUCUUCAAAGGACACUUCUUGUGCCAAACCUGGUUCAGACACAACGGAAGAGCUUGAGGCAUGGCACACAUUAUCACAUGAUCUUGGAGUCCAGCUCCGAAAAAUGGAAAGUAAAGGGGUAAAAUUAUUACCCAUCAUGUCCGUUGUAAACAUCCAUCACUUUAUAGACUGACUUCAAUUCCAUUUGACCUACAGUACUACUUGCAGUAGUUGUGCACGCUCAUAGGUUUCUUAUGCAAUUGUAAAAAAUUGUAAAUCUGUUUGAAAUGCUGGUUCGUUUAUUGUACUAGUACGUGUUCCCAGGUCUCAGAAAUGGCUUUGGUGAGAAAAUGUUAUCAUAAACAGUUUUUCCUUUAAAUGCUUUUUUGUGCACAUGAAAGUUUGAACGAUGGCUUUGUGGGCAGCAGCAAACACUGUUUUACAAUGAUGUUACUCAUUGUUGAUGUUGUAGUUGUGGGUAAACUUAGCUGUAUUAGUGCGUCACUGAAGAAAACAUUUAAUCAGUAUAAUAAUACUAACAAGCACAAGGCUGAAAGCCCUGAAGUAUUUAUUAGUGAGUCAGAGCGUUCCAGCAUGAGCUGUUCAGAUGGGAUGGAGGGUGAGAAUGUAAUGUGAGACUUUGUUUUCACACCAUUCAACUGACCUUGGCACUGAUGAUCUGCUUAGACACAAUGAGAGGAGAAAUCAACAGAAGGAUGAAGCACAGGAGAGGAGUGUUGGAUCAUUUUUUCUCCUAACACAGUAUCCCACCCUGUUUAAUUAAGUAUCUUGUUCUGUGUAACUGAGUGCCUCGUGCAAUUUGGUCACUAUGUUGUUGUGAAAACGAUCCUCGUGCACACAGAUAGGGCUGUUGGGGCAACUGCAAUAAUGAAAUAUUGAGAAGCCAACCACACGGGAUGGCACGGCCACAACUGCACGUGACGUCACACAUUGUAGCAUGCAUGCCAGGCCAGUAGGUGGUGUUGUAACUCAACACUACAGAAGAGCACCACGCUACUGCGUACAAACCAAGUGUGAACCUAUCGUGACGUCACUCAUUGGUUUGUGGAGCGUUUUGGAGUUCGGCGUUUUGCCCGGCGCUUACUGAGAAUGACCUGUCAAUGAAAAGGUAGACCCGCCCAAAAACAUACUCGGCUUUAUCGUCUAUUUUACUCUAAAGUGGACCAUAAUUUACUAAAUGAACAUCAUAAUGUAUUGAAGAAGAUGUGAAACUAGCGACUGAGACCAUAAACUCAUAAGGAAACUGUAUGCUGAGCUAAUAAAUUGAGUGUCAAGUCGACUUAUUCUCGAUUCAAGUGAAUGGGAUUGCUGUGUUAUUGCAGCCCCCUGCUGGAAUUUACAUAGAAUUACAGUUUUUAGACCCGGAAGCUCUUUCUAUAUACUGUCAAUGGUACAAACGUUUUCCUCUACAGCACAGUGAGUAUAAAGAGAAGGAAAGCUGGCGAAUGCUCGCUCAAAAACAGAUCAUUUUGUCUGGACAGAUGAUGAAGUGGGUUUGUUACUCAGAGUGACCCUGAACCAUAAUACAUCCAAAUUUCAAGAAAACAUUGAUUGGGAAUCAUGCCAGGGGCGGUUUCAAAAGUUUCGAAAUAUGACUAGUAUCAUGUCUGGAUGUGGAGGAGUUGGGUGGAUGGAUGGCUCAAACAAACACAGGAAUUUCACCCAGGAGACCAGGUAAACAUCAACAACAUUGGGCAGGUAUGACACUUGGAAGAACUUCUGCUCCUGAAACGCUCUCAGUUGUAUUUGCAGAUGGUGGUGACGGAGCCAAACCACUUUACAGACGCAACCUCAUACAGCUGUGCUGGUGGAAUUUUGGCAUUAUGGAACCAUGGGAGCAGUGAAGAGACCGUUGGAACGGAAACCCCUAUCAGCCAUGUGAGUUUACUGCGUCAGAACAGAUUUGGAAGAAGUGUUUCCAUUUCCCAUUAAGAUCAUAUAUGUUCCUCAGUGGGUGGGCCAACCUUUCAGCAUAUGUUAUUCUUAUUAGUUCUGUAAAACUGGCAGCAAACACAAUAUGGAAAACUACCAUGGUCUUGAGUAAAAGAAAGAAUGUAAAGAAGGCUAGCUAAGCAAUAAGAAGAGCAAAUUUCUAUAGGCUUUAUGCCGAGUGUCACGUGACCAAACUGGAAAACAGCUCUCCUGACUUCCACUUGUCGGAAAAGCCGGUAGCAGCGGUAGGAACUGACGGCGACAGCUAUUGACUUGGCCUAGCUAACCUAGCUAGCCCUUUUUACUGUUACCGUUUUAUUUGAUUUUAACUUCUGAAUGUUAGUGAGAAGAAGAAAAUGUCAAAGCAAGUUAAGUACCAGAAGUGGGAUAAUCCCAACAGUGAUUUCUGCUGUGUACCUCAAUUGGGAAGUUCAACUCUACCGUGAGUUUCCACCACUUCCCAAAGGAAGAAACCUUAAGAAAAAUAUGGAUACGUAUUGUGAGACGUGAGAAUUUAGUAAUAAAGAGGACCACCACAGUCUGUAGUAGACAUUUUGUCUCCACGGAUGUCAUUCAAGGUGGACAGCGACGCUUGAAAGAGGGGGCUGUACCCGUGUUGUUCGCCUGGAACGACUACUCUCUGCCAGCAGUCAGACCAAGUGUCUGGGAGAGAAUACAACGACCAGGGGAUGAAUCAACUGAAGAGGAAGAGAUGGAUGUUGAACUGUUGCUUCAGUGCCAUGAUUAUGAUGCAAAACCAGAACCAUCAGCUUUGGAUAUAGCAUGUGAGAAAAUAGAGGCCCAGCAGCGGGGGAUAGAGGAGCUGCAAAAGAGGCUGGCUGAGGUUACACUGAAGCAGUCGUUUGGCUUGGAGAGGUUUUUGGCAUCAGAUGACGACAUCAGAUUCUAUACCAGAUUUGCCAGCUACCGCCAUCUACAGGCAUUUUAGAGACAGAUUGAACCUGCAACAAGGAGAAUGGUGCGUGUUGGUGCACAGUCAUCCACUUCCAGCACAACAGCAGCUCCUGACAAUGCCACUGAUCCACCUCGUCGACCGACUUGUUCCCCCUGCUCCCCACCACCCACCGGAGCCGAUGCCUUCCGAUGAUUGAUGAACUGUUCCUGUUCUUGGUGUACCUGUUGCUGGGUCUGAAGGAGAAAGAUCUGGGUGAUCGUUUCAGCAUUCAUCAGUCCACCGUCAGCAGGAUAAUCAAGACCUGGGUACAUUUUUUGUACACCUUAUUGGGUGCUGUUGGGAUAUUGAUGUCUCCUGAGACAAUUAGAGCCACGAUGCCGAGUGUAUUCGGCAAAUAGUCUGACACCCAAGUCCUUAUUGACUGUACAGAGAUGAGAUGUCAGAUGCCUUCAUCUUUACUCUUACAGAGUGAGAUGUUUUCACAGUAUAAAUCCCACACUGCCCUGAAAGGAAUGAUUGGCGUGUCACCACAUGCUGUUACCUUUGUUUCCUCACUGUAUUCCGGCUCUAUCAGUGACAAAGAAUUGUUCAGGCAAUCUGGCAUUGUCCCUCUUUUGGAUAAAGAUAUGGCUGUAAUGGUGGACAAGAGAUUCAGAAUUGACGACCUAGUGCCUUGCAAAGUUUACAGACCACCUUUUCUGAGUAAAAAGUCACAGCUGUCUCAUGGCGAAGUGCUGGUCACUCAGGACAUUGCACGGUCAAGGAUACAUGUGGAGAGGACAAUUAGGUGCAUCAAAGAUUUCAGAGGUCAAUAUUCCUGUCUCAGAUCUGCUCGCUAAACUGAAAAUGGACCUCCCUCAAUUCUGUUCCAUUUGUCUCUCUUUAUGAUAUACAAUAACACUACAUAACAAUUUCAACAAGAACUGGAUUCUCUGAUGUAGAUUUGACAUAUGUAUGCCAUGAUACAUGUUUAUGUAGCAAUACAAGUUAUAUGUUUGACUUUGAGUGGUUUAAUUUGUCAAAGUGCCAAAUGUUCAUUAAUUGUCCCCCUGUCUAUCUCUUGUAGCAAAAUGUAUGACAUCAAACCAUGCAUACAGUAAAAUAUUGUAUAUGAAAUCUGAAAACAUCUUGUAUACAGUCACCAUGAGACAAAUUGUAUAUGGAAUGAUUUAAUUAUUUUUGUCACUUACAAAUAAAUCUGAAAAAAAUC